AUGCAGGACCCACAGUGCGUGCAGCCGCGUCGGAAACUUGCAGCUGCCUUCCUGGCAUUCGUUUUCAUCUUGGCAGCUGUGGACACUGCUGAAGCAGGGAAGAAAGAGGAGGCAGGAAAAAAAGUGAAGAAGUCUGACUGUGGGGAAUGGCAGUGGAGUGUGUGCGUGCCCACCAGUGGGGACUGUGGCCUGGGCACCCGGGAGGGCACCCGGACUGGAGCCGAGUGUAAGCAAACCAUGAAGACCCAGAGAUGUAAGAUCCCCUGCAACUGGAAAAAGCAAUUUGGAGCAGAGUGCAAAUACCAGUUCCAGGCCUGGGGAGAAUGCGACCAGAACUGGAAGUCUGAAGCGAGCCCUCCACAACGCCGACUGCCAGAAGACAGUCACCAUCUCCAAGCCCUGUGGCAAGCUGACUAAGCCCAAACCUCAAGCAGAAUCUAAGAAGAAGAAAAAGGAAGGGAAGAAACAGGAGAAGAUGCUGGACCAAUAGAUGCCACCUUCUGUGGAACAUGAAAAGGACAUCAGCAAACAGGAUCAGUUAACUAUUGCAUUUAUACCUAUGUAGGCUUUUUAUUCAAAAAUUAUCUAUAGCUUAAGUACACAAUAGGCAGAAACACAAAGAACAGAAAAAUUUUGUAGUAGCGUUUUUUUAAAUGCAUACCAUAGGACCACUAGGGGCUUAUAAUAAAGGACUGUAAUCCUAUUUAGAAAGUUGACUUAUAGUACAUGAUACAUGGUAGAAAAUUGAGGUAAGUUUUUUGAAGUUAUGUGAUAUUUUACAUUUAAAAUCUUUUUUUUUUCCAUUUUUUUUCUUUUGGCAGCAAUUUACGUGUUAUGACCAUGUAAACUACUUUUCUUGUUAGAUAAUUUUUUCACCUAGACUUUUUUUCCCAAUUGAGAAAAAUAUAUACUAAACAAAGCAGCAAUAAAAUACAAUCAUCCUAUCUGAGGAAAAUAUCUUGUUUUCUGCCAGUGGAUU